rnacentral:rRNA from 1 species
UAAGCGGAGGAAAAGAAACCAACAGGGAUUGCCCUAGUAACGGCGAGUGAAGCGGCAACAGCUCAAAUUUGAAAUCUGGCGCAAGCCCGAGUUGUAAUUUGUAGAGGAUGCUUCUGGGCAGCGGCCGGUCUAAGUUCCUUGGAACAGGACGUCACAGAGGGUGAGAAUCCCGUAUGUGAUCGGUUGGCACCCGCUACGUAGCUCCUUCGACGAGUCGAGUUGUUUGGGAAUGCAGCUCUAAAUGGGAGGUAAAUGCCUUCUAAAGCUAAAUACCGGCCAGAGACCGAUAGCGCACAAGUAGAGUGAUCGAAAGAUGAAAAGCACUUUGGAAAGAGAGUUAAAAAGCACGUGAAAUUGUUGAAAGGGAAGCGCAUGCAACCAGACUUGUCCGCGGUGUUCCGCCGGUCUUCUGACCGGUCUACUCGCCGCGGGCAGGCCAGCAUCAUCUGGGAGCGCCGGAUAAAGGUAGCGGGAAUGUGGCCCCUCGGGGUGUUAUAGCUCGCUACACAAUACGGCGCCUCCCGGGUGAGGUCCGCGCUUCGGCUAGGAUGCUGGCGUAAUGGUUGUAUGCGGCCCGUCUUGAAACACGGACCAAGGAGUCUACCAUCUAUGCGAGUGUUCGGGUGUCAAACCCCUACGCGCAAUGAAAGUGAACGGAGGUGGGAACCGCAAGGUGCACCAUCGACCGAUCCUGAUGUCUUCGGAUGGAUUUGAGUAAGAGCAUAGCUGGUGGGACCCGAAAGAUGGUGAACUAUGCCUGAAUAGGGUGAAGCCAGAGGAAACUCUGGUGGAGGCUCGCAGCGGUUCUGACGUGCAAAUCGAUCGUCAAAUUUGGGUAUAGGGGCGAAAGACUAAUCGAACCAU